AUGACUGUUACUCUCCAGGAUGUUUCGAUGAUCCUGGCACUUCCCAUCGAGGGAGUUCCUGUUUGUUUUAGCACUGGUGCUGCUGGUUGGCGCGCUAGGAUGUUUGAGCUUAUCGGUGCGGUUCCUGCGGUGCCGGAAGACCCGACUAAAAACAGAGUCCCCGCCGGCGCGACUUAUGUUUGGAUUGUAGAACAUUUUAGCCAGUGCCCUGAUGAUGCUAGCGAGGAGACGGUGCAACAAUAUGCACGCGCAUACUUGUGGUAUGUGAUCUCGAGGACUCUGUUUGCUGACGGUGGUGGCAGGACCGCUCCGUGGAUGUGGCUGAAGGCAUUAUCUGGUUGGGAUAGUAAACAGAGCCGGGGUUCGGCGGCACUUGCCUACUUGUACCGUCAGUUGGAUGAGGCGUGUUGUAGGCGCAAAGAUGAAGCUAGUAUUGGUGGUCCGUUGGUCCUACUUUCGGUUUGGAUGUGGGAACACUUCUCAGUUGGACGACCGAGAGUGAUUGGUUACGACGCCUGGGAUGAUCAUGACAACCCGCUACGGAAGCCUACAUGGGCGUACAAGUGGGACAAGGUUUCGGAGUUCACUGGUGACCCAAACAGGAUGUACAGGGAGUACACCAAUGAGUUUGACACGCUAACCUCCGAGCAGGUGACAUGGCAGCCAUAUGGAGCGCGGGACAAUUUUGCUUUCAUCUGUGAUUUCCAGUUGAACCCGAAGUGCACGGAGGAAUCACAUCUUUGGCUGAUGCGGUGCCCAUUGAUAUGCUUAUAUGCAGUCGAGUUCCACCUUCCACAGCGUGUGAUGACCCAAUUUGGAUUAUUUCAGGAUACACCGCCGAAAUGGAAGGACACGGAUGUCGCGCUUCACGGCUUGGACAAAAUGAAACAGAAGAAGAUCAAGAACUGGGAGUCAUAUCAUGACAAGUUCAUCAAGAAAUGGAAUUACGUCGUGAGGGUGGCUAAUGAUAACCGACAAGUACAUCUCCAAGAGUACGAUGAAGCUGCAUUUGACAAAUAUCUUCGUUGGUUUCUUAGCGAGUCCCGUGUGGAGUUAUGCCCACCUGCUUAUGAGGAGGGCAUAUUGGAGGCGCCCACAGGUUUUGAAGGGACUGCCAACCUUGAGUACAACAGGCUCAUCAGAGAGGGCAGACAAACCGGAUUCGCUCCUGUGAUCAACUUUAUUUGUAGCGCUACUCGGCUACGUUCCUUAGCUCAUCUUCUUGGUUGCCGUACUGUCGAGGCCGACAUGCCCACCCAGUCGAGGUCCACUUCUUCUGAAGAGGAGGCGGCCGCCGAGAUGACCCUGAGGGGGUUUAUGGAUGAUGCACCUCAGCCUAGUCAGCCUAUUGAGCGGCGUCACUUCAACUUAAAGCCUAGGAAGACCUUCAACCGUUAUACACCGGAGGCAUGGAACAAGAAACAAAAGAGGACCGUUGUUGAGUCCGAGAACGAGUUUGAGGACGAGGAGGAGCCGGCACCGAAGAAGGUUCUGAGGAGGUUGAAGAGGGUCGGGGUGGAGCCGGGGACGAAGAAGGUUGUGAGGCAGGCGAGGGGGAAGAAGUAA
rnacentral:rRNA from 1 species